rfam:Picea glauca, whole genome shotgun sequence.
GUAAUGGUGUCUUUAGACACCACCACUUCUUGGAAUUCAUUAUUCU